rnacentral:rRNA from 1 species
AUUGAACGCUGGCGGCAGGCCUAACACAUGCAAGUCGAACGCGUGGCGGACGGGUGAGUAAUGUCUGGGAAACUGCCUGAUGGCGGGGGAUAACUCCUGGAAACGGUAGCUAAUACCGAAUACCAGCCGAUGUGCCCAGAUGGGAUUAGCUUGUUGGUGGGGUAACGGAUCACCAAGGAGACGAUCACUAGCUGGUCUGAGAGGAUGACCAGCCACACUGGAACUGAGACACUGUCCAGACUCCUACGGGAGGCAGCAGUGGGGAAUAUUGCACAAUGGGCGCAAGCCUGAUGCAGCCAUGCCGCGUGUAUGAAGAAGGUCUUCGGGUUGUAAAGUACUGUCAUCGGGGAGGCGUUACCCGCAGAAGAAGCACCGGCUAACUCCGUGCCAGCAGCCGCGGUAAUAC